rnacentral:rRNA from 1 species
CUGACGAGCGGCGGACGGGUGAGUAAUGUAUGGGGAUCUGCCCGAUAGAGGGGGAUAACUACUGGAAACGGUGGCUAAUACCGCAUAAGCGCACAGUACCGCAUGGUACGGUGUGAAAAACUCCGGUGGUAUGAGAUGGACCCGCGUUUGAUUAGGUAGUUGGUGGGGUAACGGCCUACCAAGCCGACGAUCAGUAGCCGACCUGAGAGGGUGACCGGCCACAUUGGGACUGAGACACGACCCAA